rnacentral:rRNA from 1 species
UGGGGAAUAUUGCACAAUGGGCGAAAGCCUGAUGCAGCAACGCCGCGUGAGUGAUGAAGGUCUUCGGAUUGUAAAGCUCUGUCUUUUGGGACGAUAAUGACGGUACCAAAGGAGGAAGCCACGGCUAACUACGUGCCAGCAGCCGCGGUAAUACGUAGGUGGCGAGCGUUGUCCGGAUUUACUGGGCGUAAAGGGUGCGUAGGCGGAUGUUUAAGUGAGAUGUGAAAUACCCGGGCUUAACUUGGGUGCUGCAUUUCAAACUGGAUAUCUAGAGUGCAGGAGAGGAGAAUGGAAUUCCUAGUGUAGCGGUGAAAUGCGUAGAGAUUAGGAAGAACACCAGUGGCGAAGGCGAUUCUCUGGACUGUAACUGACGCUGAGGCACGAAAGCGUGGGUAGCAAACAGGAUUAGAUACCCUGGUAGUCCACGCCGUAAACGAUGAGUACUAGGUGUAGGAGGUAUCGACCCCUUCUGUGCCGCAGUAAAACACA